rnacentral:rRNA from 1 species
GACAGAGGGUGCAAGCGUUGUUCGGAAUUAUUGGGCGUAAAGGGAGUGUAGGCUGUUUGGUAAGUCUUCUGUGAAAUCUGCGGGCUUAGCCUGCAAAGUGCAGAGGAAACUGUCAGACUUGAGUAUUGGAGAGGGCAGGGGAAUACCCAGUGUAGAGGUGAAAUGCGUAGAGAUGUGGAGGAACACCGAUGGCGAAGGCAGCCCCCCUGGGUCAAGAUUGACGCUCAUGCACGAAAGCGUGGGGAGCAAACAGG